rnacentral:rRNA from 1 species
UACGAAGGUCCCAAGCGUUAUCCGGAUUUAUUGGGUUUAAAGGGUGCGUAGGCGGACUGUUAAGUCAGUGGUGAAAGCUCCAUGCCUAACAUGGAAAUUGCUAUUGAUACUGACGGUCUUGAGUACAUUUGAAGUGGGCGGAAUGUGUCAUGUAGCGGUGAAAUGCUUAGAUAUGACACAGAACACCGAUUGCGUAGGCAGCUCACUAAACUGUAACUGACGCUGAGGCACGAAAGCGUGGGGAGCAAACAGG